rnacentral:misc_RNA from 1 species
AUAGAGCUGGAAGGACAGUGGCUACAUUAUUUGGAAAAUGGGAUGAAAGUAUGCAUUAUGUGAAUGGGGACUGUUCUCAUAAGGGAAAAGGAUUGGAUUCGUUAUCCGAAUCCUACCUACUCUGGAAACGAAGCAAGCCACCAAAAUUUUCUACUAGAUAUAACUUCACCCGCUUUGCUAUGACUUUGAAUGAGCUGACACCAGGCUUGAAGGAAAAG